rnacentral:rRNA from 1 species
AGUGGCGAACGGGUGAGUAACGCGUGAGGAACCUGCCUCAAAGAGGGGGGACAACAGUUGGAAACGACUGCUAAUACCGCAUAAGCCCACAGCUCGGCAUCGAGCAGCGGGAAAAGGAGCAAUCCGCUUUGAGAUGGCCUCGCGUCCGAUUAGCUAGUUGGUGAGGUAAUGGCCCACCAAGGCGACGAUCGGUAGCCGGACUGAGGGGUUGAACGGCCACAUUGGGACUGAGACACGGCCCAGACUCCUACGGGAGGCAGCAGUGGGGAAUAUUGCACAAUGGGGGAAACCCUGAUGCAGCGACGCCGCGUGGAGGAAGAAGGUCUUCGGAUUGUAAACUCCUGUUGUUGAGGAAGAUAAUGACGGUACUCAACAAGGAAGUGACGGCUAACUACGUGCCAGCAGCCGCGGUAAUACGUAGGUGACAAGCGUUGUCCGGAUUUACUGGGUGUAAAGGGCGCGUAGGCGGACUGUCAAGUCAGUCGUGAAAUACCGGGGCUUAACCCCGGGGCUGCGAUUGAAACUGACAGCCUUGAGUAUCGGAGAGGAAAGCGGAAUUCCUAGUGUAGCGGUGAAAUGCGUAGAUAUUAGGAGGAACACCAGUGGCGAAGGCGGCUUUCUGGACGACAACUGACGCUGAGGCGCGAAAGUGUGGGGAGCAAACAGGAUUAGAUACCCUGGUAGUCCACACCGUAAACGAUGGAUACUAGGUGUAGGAGGUAUCGACCCCUUCUGUGCCGCAGUUAACACAAUAAGUAUCCCACCUGGGGAGUACGACCGCAAGGUUGAAACUCAAAGGAAUUGACGGGGGCCCGCACAAGCAGUGGAGUAUGUGGUUUAAUUCGAAGCAACGCGAAGAACCUUACCUGGGCUUGACAUCCCUGGAAUCGAGUAGAGAUACUUGAGUGCCUUCGGGAAUCAGGUGACAGGUGGUGCAUGGUUGUCGUCAGCUCGUGUCGUGAGAUGUUGGGUUAAGUCCCGCAACGAGCGCAACCCCUAUCUUUAGUAGCCAGCAUAUAAGGUGGGCACUCUAGAGAGACUGCCAGGGAUAACCUGGAGGAAGGUGGGGACGACGUCAAAUCAUCAUGCCCCUUAUGACCAGGGCUACACACGUGCUACAAUGGCGUAAACAGAGGGAAGCAGCCUCGUGAGAGUGAGCAAAUCCCAAAAAUAACGUCUCAGUUCGGAUUGUAGUCUGCAACUCGACUACAUGAAGCUGGAAUCGCUAGUAAUCGCGAAUCAGAAUGUCGCGGUGAAUACGUUCUCGGGUCUUGCACUCACCGCCCGUCA